AUCCUGCUGACGAGUUACAAAUAGGACGACACGCGCGUUUUGGAU
rnacentral:hammerhead_ribozyme from 1 species